AACGCACCUUGCACUCCUUGGUAUUCCGAGGAGUAUGCCUGUUCGAGUGUCAUGAAACUCUCAAACCGUAUCUUUAUUGAUCAACGGGUUUGGAUUUGGACGUUGCUGGAUGCAUGUUCGGCUCGUCUCGAAUGUAUUAGCUGUAGAUUUCGAUUUCAGUUAAACCGUGUGAUAAUACAUCAAUGCGGGCAGCCGUCAAGGCGCUGAAUCGUCGUUCGAAGGCUUCUAAUCGUCCUUUACCGGACCACCUUUAACGGGUGCUUUCAUUUCACAUCUGGCCUCGAAUCAGGUAGGACUACCCGCUGAACUUAA
rnacentral:misc_RNA from 1 species